rnacentral:rRNA from 1 species
GAUUCUGGCUCCAGGAUGAACGCUGGCGGCGUGCUUAACACAUGCAAGUCGAACGGGAUCCAUCAGGCUUUGCUUGGUGGUGAGAGUGGCGAACGGGUGAGUAAUGCGUGACCGACCUGCCCCAUACACCGGAAUAGCUCCUGGAAACGGGUGGUAAUGCCGGAUGCUCCGACUCCUCGCAUGGGGUGUCGGGAAAGAUUUCAUCGGUAUGGGAUGGGGUCGCGUCCUAUCAGGUAGUCGGCGGGGUAACGGCCCACCGAGCCUACGACGGGUAGCCGGCCUGAGAGGGCGACCGGCCACAUUGGGACUGAGAUACGGCCCAGACUCCUACGGGAGGCAGCAGUGGGGAAUAUUGCACAAUGGGCGCAAGCCUGAUGCAGCGACGCCGCGUGCGGGAUGACGGCCUUCGGGUUGUAAACCGCUUUUGAUCGGGAGCAAGCCUUCGGGUGAGUGUACCUUUCGAAUAAGCACCGGCUAACUACGUGCCAGCAGCCGCGGUAAUACGUAGGGUGCAAGCGUUAUCCGGAAUUAUUGGGCGUAAAGGGCUCGUAGGCGGUUCGUCGCGUCCGGUGUGAAAGUCCAUCGCUUAACGGUGGAUCUGCGCCGGGUACGGGCGGGCUGGAGUGCGGUAGGGGAGACUGGAAUUCCCGGUGUAACGGUGGAAUGUGUAGAUAUCGGGAAGAACACCAAUGGCGAAGGCAGGUCUCUGGGCCGUUACUGACGCUGAGGAGCGAAAGCGUGGGGAGCGAACAGGAUUAGAUACCCUGGUAGUCCACGCCGUAAACGGUGGAUGCUGGAUGUGGGGCCCGUUCCACGGGUUCCGUGUCGGAGCUAACGCGUUAAGCAUCCCGCCUGGGGAGUACGGCCGCAAGGCUAAAACUCAAAGAAAUUGACGGGGGCCCGCACAAGCGGCGGAGCAUGCGGAUUAAUUCGAUGCAACGCGAAGAACCUUACCUGGGCUUGACAUGUUCCCGACCGCUCCAGAGAUGGGGCUUCCCUUCGGGGCGGGUUCACAGGUGGUGCAUGGUCGUCGUCAGCUCGUGUCGUGAGAUGUUGGGUUAAGUCCCGCAACGAGCGCAACCCUCGCCCUGUGUUGCCAGCACGUCAUGGUGGGAACUCACGGGGGACCGCCGGGGUCAACUCGGAGGAAGGUGGGGAUGACGUCAGAUCAUCAUGCCCCUUACGUCCAGGGCUUCACGCAUGCUACAAUGGCCGGUACAACGGGAUGCGACACGGCGACGUGGAGCGGAUCCCUGAAAACCGGUCUCAGUUCGGAUUGGAGUCUGCAACCCGACUCCAUGAAGGCGGAGUCGCUAGUAAUCGCGGAUCAGCAACGCCGCGGUGAAUGCGUUCCCGGGCCUUGUACACACCGCCCGUCAAGUCAUGAAAGUGGG